rnacentral:tmRNA from 1 species
GGGGGUGAUCGGUUUCGACUUCGGUCGUCGACGCCAGUGAAGCGAGCCGUGGUCCCCGGAUCCACGUAAAAGAGUCGGGAACAUCAAUAAUCGCCAACAGCGACAGCAAUCUCGCACUCGCUGCGUAAGUAGCGGAUGCGACGUCUUCCCGUUCCCGGCCCUGCGGAGCGGAACCGGACGUCAUCAAGCGGGGCUUACCUCUCAGAAGGGUCAGCGGUCUGAGAGGGACAUCUAGCUGACUACGGCGGUCGCCGAGUGCCGGUGACGUGCGACCGCCCGACAAUUUCCACCGGCUGCGCUCGGAGAAGCCUGGUAGAGAAGCUGAAGGACGCGGGUUCGAUUCCCGCCACCUCCACCA